ensembl:lncRNA
AUCAUGGGGCAAUUUGUUCUCAUUUUUCCAGAAUUUGUGUACCGUUGAUAUAUUAUUUUUUUAUGCAACAAAAGCAAUGAAUAGAUGAGAAAAUCUAAGUAAUUGACCCAGUGGCCACUUGCAGGAUUAACAAUACCCUGUGAUGUUCUGAUCAGUGCCCACGCAGACGGAGGACCUUACCCAACUGUCUGGAUGACCUCAUGUUGCCUGGCAACCGCCUGCUUGACAGCAGUUGCUAGGAAACCAGGAACAGAGCCAGGACUCCUGACUAAUACCCAGCGUCCAUACUGCCUGUCUCUUCCCCUCAGAUUUUCCCUGAUAGGGUCAUGCUCCUAUUGAGGCAUUCCUCUUCCUCUCCAGCUCUCCUCCUCCUGCCUCCCUACCUGCCUGGGGCUUACCUGCCAGCAGCACUCAAUGGGCUCCACAAUCAUAGAGCCCACAUGAUCACGGGUUCCAUAGGACCCUCUUCCUUCCCCUAUUCCAGGAUUAGGGCCUAGGCUAGAGUGUGUGCAUGCCUGAAAUCUUAAGUCUGUAGUUACCUCAUCAUUGAGACAAGUGGCAGCCUCUCAGUGGCUCUAGGGCUGGCAAACCCUUCUCCCGCUGGGGAGUGAUUCUCUCAGGAAAGGCACUGAGAUCAGCCCACGCUCCCACCACCCCAGCAGAGUGCCUGACCCAAGGAAAGCAUUAAAUCCAUGACCCUUGAUUGAAUUCUUUGGCCGGGCAUCACACGGACCUCUCCCUGUUCUAAGUAGUUCACUUUAAAGAGAAAGAAAAAUUCCUCUAGAGUGGAUCCACCGGAACACAGUAAUCCUGGAGAACCCCUAAUCUUUCACCAUUCUUGAGAAUGAUCCAUGCUACCCUGCACUUCUCAUUCCCACCACCUCCAACGCAUUGCUCUACCUCCAUCCUGAAGAAGUCACCUUCCACCUCUACCUGAUCCCCAGUGAGUGCUCCACUUGGAAGGAGGUCCAGAAAGGCUGGGCCAAGGUGAGCUGAUGGCAACCAUGACAUGCAGCCAGAGGGGCCUCUAGAUUUCUUCGGUCCUUGUCACUAGAAUAUAAAGUUGCUUGAGGGCAGAGACACUGUAGCUUCUGGUACCACCAGCACCUAGGACAGCCUCAGGCGCAAUGAAACCUUUCUUAGGGUCUUAGGGUCUCCAAGACCUGCCCCACUUAUCCGCUGGCUGCCACGGGAACGGCUCCCGAUUUGCCAAUACAUUUCCAGAGCUUCCGGCUGCGACAGGCUGGCGGGGAGGGGAGUGAUGGUGGGGGAGAUCCGGGCAGGGGCCGACGCACUGUCUCUGAGCCCCUCCUCGCGCGCCCCAUCACGGCCCCUCUUCCUUUCCGGGCGCCCCCGAGCGUCCCGCGCGCCCGGCCCCUGCGCUCAUGGAUGAAGCGCGGCUGCGCGGGGUCCGCCUGAGCUUAGUCCGCAGAGGACCGGAGCAGGCCUCGCGCGUCGCCCGCGAGAAAGCUCGGCUGGACGCGCGCUCCUGGGAGGCCUCCCGUAGGAGGACGCGGCCGGGGCUGCUCUGAGAGGUCGCGGGAGGGCGCGGGGGCCUG